UACGUAGGGGCGAGCGUUGUCCGGAUUUACUGGGCGUAAAGGGUGAGUAGGCGGUUAUAUAUGUCAGGUGUAAAAAGCUAUGGCUUAACCAUAGUAAGCACUUGAAACUGUAUGACUUGAGUGCAGGAGAGGUAAGCGGAAUUCCUAGUGUAGCGGUGAAAUGCGUAGAUAUUAGGAGGAACACUGGUGGCGAAGGCGGCUUACUGGACUGUAACUGACGCUGAGUCACGAAAGCGUGGGUAGCAAACAGGAUUAGAUACCCUGGUAGU
rnacentral:rRNA from 1 species